rnacentral:rRNA from 1 species
UACGUAGGGGGCAAGCGUUAUCCGGAUUUACUGGGUGUAAAGGGAGCGUAGACGGCGAUGCAAGCCAGAUGUGAAAACCCGGGGCCCAACCCCGGGAGUGCAUUUGAAACUGCCAUGCUGGAGUGCCGGAGAGGUAAGCGGAAUUCCUAGUGUAGCGGUGAAAUGCGUAGAUAUAUGGAAGAACACCAGUGGCGAAGGCGGCCGCCUGGCCUGUUGCUGACGCUGAGGCACGAAAGCGUGGGGAGCAAAUAGG